GCACUGCCCCAUUCCCCUCCCCCAGGCUAUCUGAAUUCUAAGUAUAGACCCAUGAUGAAAGAUUUCAAAGGCAAUAGCCAUUGCUCCAAAAUAGCUUGGUUAAUAUUUACAGAGUGGUUCAUCUCUUUUCUCUCUCCUGCCUACCAAAAAGAUGCUAUUCCUGUGAUUAAAACCAUUACAGUCCUUCAAAGGUUAUACAUGACUUUCAGGCUUCAGCCUCAAUAGCAACAGGGCAGAGCUAUGUAAUCAUCAGCACUUAGAAGACCAUCUGGUGGAAAACAGGACUUGGGGUCAGCUGUGUCUAGUUGAGGCUGAGCCGAGUCAGCUGUGUCUCAUUGGAGCUGAGCUGGUUAGGACUGGGUAGGACCACCCAUCCUCGAACCAGGCA